UAGGGAAUAUUAGAAAUGGACGAAAGUCUGAUCUAGCAACACCGCGUGUGCGAAGAAGGCCUUCGGGUCGUAAAGCACUUUUUGGAAGGAAUAGGAAGGAAUGUACUUCCAGAAUAAGUCUCGGCUAACUACGUGCCAGCAGCCGCGGUAACACGUAGGAGGCGAACGUUAUCCGGAUUUACUGGGCGUAAAGCGCGUGUAGGUGGUUCUGUAAGUAGGGCGUGAAAGCUCCUGGCUCAACUGGGAGAGGCCGUUCUAAACUACAGAACUAGAGGGUGGUAGAGGGAGGUGGAAGUCCAGGUGUAGCGGUGGAAUGCGCAGAUAUCUGGAGGAACACCAGUGGCGAAGGCGGCCUCCUGGACCAUUCCUGACACUCAGACGCGAAAGCUAGGGUAGCAAACG
rnacentral:rRNA from 1 species